AGCUGUGCAACUCUAAAUAUAUGUCCUGCAAACUAAGAAGCCCCAGCUCAGGUUUUUUGGGGGUAAAAUCUUCAUCAAUACUUAACUUUCAGACAAAAUUUAGCUUCUCAGUUGAAGUCAUAUUUCUUUAUUCUAGAAAACAGAAUAAAAUAUAUUAUUGACGAAUUAUUUAUUUACUUAUUUGUUUAUUUCUGCAAAAUUUUUGAUAUUUAGAAAUUAGGAUAGGAGGAAGCUUGGUUGAUUUUUUCUUCUUCUUUUUGGUAAUAGCGUGAGAUCGAAGAGCUCAAGAAAAGAAAGCUAACAGUUAAGUACAUCAAAAAAAACAAGAAAAAUUAAAACUGGAAUCAGCAAGUAGUAGCAAAGAUAAUUAAUUCAUGUGGAAUGGAAGAACAUCUAGAGUCUUCAUGGGAGUUAUGGCCUGCAAUUCAUUCUACUGCAGGAUUCCAUUAAUAAAAUACAUGAGCAGCCUUGAAGAAGCUUAGGGAUGAGAGAGAGAGAGUGCGAGUAUAUAUAUGUGUAUAGAUAUGUAUACACACACACACACACACA
rnacentral:lncRNA from 1 species